UACGAAGGGUGCAAACGUUGCUCGGAAUUACUGGGCGUAAAGCGCACGUAGGCGGAUCGAUCAGUCAGGGGUGAAAUCCCAGGGCUCAACCCUGGAACUGCCUUUGAUACUGUCGAUCUGGAGUAUGGAAGAGGUGAGUGGAAUUCCGAGUGUAGAGGUGAAAUUCGUAGAUAUUCGGAGGAACACCAGUGGCGAAGGCGGCUCACUGGUCCAUUACUGACGCUGAGGUGCGAAAGCGUGGGGAGCAAACAGG
rnacentral:rRNA from 1 species